GAGCUGAGGACAAAUUUGCCUGCUUUAGUACGAGCUUGUUGAAUAAUAAAAAUACACAUGCACGAAGCUUUCAUCAGAAACUUACCAUAUACCAGGUUCUAACACGAUAUUCACUACUUCUGGAUUCUGAAAUACGUGACCUGAAAACAAAAAUAUACACGUGUUUUAUAUUUUACCGUUACAAGAUAAUUGCAUAUUCGAAACAAAUGGAUGUAUGUCUUUAAUAGCUCUUUUCAGCUCUCUUCAGAAAAAGAAAUAAUAGAUUGAGAAGAACAGAGCGUCAUGAUUUAACCUCAGAGAUCGAUAAUUAUCAGCAGUAUUUGCCACUGAUUUAUCGACAAUUGAUUUCAAUCUGCACUUAUAUUUAUGGAGAUAAGUUUUCACAUGAAUACUUUCAUUCACUUUAUGCCACUCUUGUUAAACUCGAUCAAAAAUGAACUACUUGCUAUCAAAUGAAGGAACCUAUACGAAACAUCAUGGGUUGAGUGUCACUGUGAUAAGAGAGCCGUAACACGCACGAGCCAUUGCUUAGAACGUGUGCGACUUGACCCGUACUUAGUUGGAUGUAACUAGAAGAGAGAAGAGAGAGAAAUAAAAAGAGAAUAAAAUACAGUAAUGCCGAAGAUCAUUAAUCAGAAGCAGUCCUAUUGCCAAACGUUGAGAUCGCCAGAAAUUCGAUGAAAUCAUCGUCUCAUUUGCGCAUUGGAUUCGAGAAGAUUCGGGAAACUUAUCAGACGACAUCCGCGAAAUCAAGAAGUUACCAGAGAGCUCGUCGAGGAAAAUAAUUUCUCGGCAAGAACGAUUUAAUUACCGGCACAAUCGCCACCUUCAAGGCCAUCAGCGUCGCGCAUAAACAUGAAGCACAUUAUUUAGAGAAAUGCGUGCACAAACGUUACACAUAGCUCGUGCAGGAGGUUCUUAUCUCACGAGUGUCGUGUUAAAGAUAGACGUUCCACGGAUCGUGCGGUUUAAAACGGAUGUAAUAAUAGAGAAGAAGAAUAGAUAAAUUAGAUAUAUAAGUUAGAAGAUAUAUAAAUUUCCAAGCGUCACAUUUUUAUUUUUUUAAGGGAUGACACGAAAGACACAAUCUAAGAAACAAAGUUUUUAAUAAAACUGAGCAGAUGUGCAGCAAAAUGUGUACAAAACACUAACAAAACGCUAACGCUUGUGAUAAUGUGUAUGUUUUGCAUAUCGAUUUUUCUUUCUCGUCUAAAUUCGUCUAAACUCGUCGCUUAAAAACAUCGACAUCACUGCCAUUCUAUAUAUAUAUAUAUAUAUGAUCCUAGCGAGAUUACAAAGAUCUUACAUAACAAUAAUGGAAGACUGUACAUGAUAAUGAUGGACAAAAAAAUCUUAUUUGAGCAG